ACAAAGCGCGACCAGCCAAAUGAAUACAAAAACAGCUUCGAGAUGCUUGGAUGAACAUGUUAAAGAGAAUUUGAAAAAGUUUGUCAAUCUUUUCAAGUCUAAAAUUCUUACUGGUGAAAACCGCCGGAGGGAACAGGAAGAAGUUAUACUCAAUAAACAACAUUUAGUGGCCCACUGCCGGAGGCUUCUUGAAAAUCUCCUUCAAAGUCGAUAUGUUUCUUCCGUGCACACUCCGUUUGUUCCCCUGAAGAAACUAAUUACUUUUGGCCAGGAGGCAACAGAUUCUGUAGGGGAAUAUAAUAGUAACAAAAGCAGCGGUCAAAAUAUCUGUAGUAGUAGUGAAGUGUUGCUUGAGUUAAUACAAGCGGAGGCGGUUCCCGUGUAUCCUCAUCUCGCUGUUGUGUUGCUCGUUAAGAACUGCAGCGAGCGGACUCUGAAGAACGUAAGAGCUCUACCCUUCAGCAACGAAGCUUACACAGACUGCACUUCGACGAGUGUAAAGAACUUUAAGAAAAAUACAACGGCCACUAUCACGUUAAAGCUGAAUUUACUUGCUGGAGAUCUUCAGAUCUUUCUUUCGUGUAAUACUGGGAACUUGUACUUUCUGGGGACCGUCAAGGUCGGGCCUCAAACCUCCUGCAAAACAAAACCGUGCUUUUACGCCCACCAACUUUCGGUGACCGCAACCAUCAUCGGGCGGACGAGGUCGUUGGUAGACGUUUCUGGCCUGGUCGAGUCGUUUAUGGACGUUGUAGAAAAGCAUACCCGCAAAGCUAACGAGGUGGUUCUGCACGGAAGUGUUCUCGGCGACAGCAGUUCCCACGUGAAGGUCAUUAUUAGGCCGGAAGGCAGACUCCUCAGUGAAGUGCGCGUAUAUAGCGAGAAGAGAGACCACCUGUUCUGGCUUCUGCGGUGCCUUUCCAACGAUGAAAAGGUGCAGGUGCUGCCCAGUGCGUCGAGGGCUUUCCAGCGCAUGUACCUUCUUCAUAUACAGCCCCCCUCGAAGCACUCUGCACCUUCUGAUUGCUACUCGCCUCAGACAAGACUGCCUCACGACUAUCCAGCGACUGGACGAUCGUUGUUCCGCGGAUAAACAAGUCAUUCUUCUAGCAAUCCACCGGUUACUAACGGAUGACGGCUGACGUUCAAAAACCUCGUCAAGUUUAGACUGCUCUGCGCCUUCCCUGUCCAGCGCCCAAACCAUGCUCGGGAUAUGUCUGCGGAGUCACACACCUCCAGCAGUGUAAAAGCAAAGCAAGAGACACUAAAGAACCCCAUCUGUAGCCGAGCCUGAGCAGCGUGGCGAAGCCGUCCGCUAAUAGAACUCAACAGUUACCUCGGGCCCCCUUGUACUCCUCCAGCGAAUCACCGCAACUGCUUGCUUUUUCAUUUCGACCUUUUGGAAGGGUAACCCCCCUAGGAAUAGCGCUAGUGUAGACCGUUACCUUAACAACUCUGACACCAACUUCUUGAAGUGCAUUCGAGAUUAAGGGAUCCUGCCUCAAUAUAAUUUGCUAAAAGGUGUGUCAGCGUAGUUUAAUGAUCGCACGUGGGGUAUACAAGACAUCAGCACCUCAACGCACUUCUGGAUGGUUGCUGCUUUUCUUAAUAGCCGGUCCGGAA